UAAAGGUUUGGUCCUAGCCUUCCUAUUAGUUAUUAGCAGAAUUACACAUGCAAGUUUCCGCAUCCCAGUGAAAAUGCCCUCUAAAUCUCCAAAUGAUUAAAAGGAGCGGGUAUCAAGCACACUAAACAAGUAGCUCACAACACCUUGCUCAACCACACCCCCACGGGAUACAGCAGUGAUAAAAAUUAAGCCAUAAACGAAAGUUUGACUAAGUCAUGCUAACAUUAGAGUUGGUAAAUUUCGUGCCAGCCACCGCGGUCAUACGAUUAACCCAAAUUAAUAGGUCCCCGGCGUAAAACGUGUUAAGGACACCAUAAUACUAAAGUUAAAAUUUAGCUAGGCCGUAAAAAGCUACCGCCAACAUAAAAUAUGCCACGAAAGUGACUUUAUUAUUUCCGACAACACGAUAGCUGAGACCCAAACUGGGAUUAGAUACCCCACUAUGCUCAGCCCUAAACAUAAAUAAUUCCAACAACAAAAUUAUCUGCCAGAGGACUACUAGCAAUAGCCUAAAACUCAAAGGACUUGGCGGUGCUUUAUAUCCCUCUAGAGGAGCCUGUUCUAUAAUCGAUAAACCCCGAUAAACCUCACCACUUCUAGCUAAACCAGUUUAUAUACCGCCAUCGUCAGCAAACCCUCAAAAGGAAGAAAAGUAAGCACAAUAAUAUUACAUAAAAAAGUUAGGUCAAGGUGUAACCAAUGAAGUGGGAAGAAAUGGGCUACAUUUUCUAACCAAGACUAAUACCUACGAAAGUUUAUAUGAAACCUACAAACUAAAGGUGGAUUUAGUAGUAAAUUAAGAAUAGAGAGCUUAAUUGAAUAGGGCCAUGAAGCACGCACACACCGCCCGUCACCCUCCUCAAACAACACACCAAAACAUUACAUAAUACAAAACAAACCAACGCAAGAGGAGAUAAGUCGUAACAAGGUAAGCACACUGGAAAGUGCGCUUGGAUAAAC
rnacentral:ncRNA from 1 species